GUGUUGCGGGAGUUGGCUUCGGCUUUCGGAGAUUAAAAGCUUUGAACUUGUUCGCGGAGCAGCACCGCCGCGUAGGCUACCAACCGCCGUCAGCAGCCUUAGGCAGGUACACAACCGGGUAACUGGCAGCUCUUAGAUUGUUCUGGACUGUUGUAUGGUGAACUCGUACACUGAGUGAUGCCCGAAAGAAACAGCAACUGGGACCGGAUGAAGUCUUUGGCAUCGAUGGAGGUCCAAAAGUUCCUACUUGGUCUUUUGAGAGUGUCUGGGAAGAUGAUUUUAAGCGAGCCAGUUUAGUCAGACAUGGAAGUCAGUGGCAGAUACUCCUAUCACUCGUCAAGCCUUUCGAUGACCUAAGAAGAAAAAGGAGAAGAGAUAUACAUCAGGGAAAAGCCAAAAUAUAUGCAGGACUUGAUAGUUCAUCAGGCUCAGUAAAAGGAUACAUAGCUUCAUUUCAACUCGUCUCAAUUUGUCUCUUUAACACUUUGGUUUGGCUGUGAUUGGAAAUGAAGUAUAAGGUGUAUAGUGUUUGUUUAUUGACAAGAUGAUAGAAGCACUAUUUUCUUGGUAGAACUUUGUAUCUUUGAAACCUAUCAUGAGGGACAAUUCUGCUCU